rnacentral:rRNA from 1 species
AUUGAACGCUGGCGGCAUGCCUUACACAUGCAAGUCGAACGGUAACGGGCCUUCGGGUGCCGACGAGUGGCGAACGGGUGAGUAAUGUAUCGGAACGUACCUUUCAGUGGGGGAUAACGUAGCGAAAGUUACGCUAAUACCGCAUAUUCUGUGAGCAGGAAGGCAGGGGAUCGCAAGACCUUGCGCUGAUUGAGCGGCCGAUAUCAGAUUAGCUAGUUGGUGAGGUAAAGGCUCACCAAGGCGACGAUCUGUAGCGGGUCUGGGAGGAUGAUCCGCCACACUGGAACUGAGACACGGUCCAGACUCCUACGGGAGGCAGCAGUGGGGAAUUUUGGACAAAUGGGGGGCAACCCUGAUCCAGCCAUGCCGCGUGAGUGAAGAA